rnacentral:rRNA from 1 species
GAUGAACGCUGGCGGCGUGCCUAAUACAUGCAAGUCGAGCGAACGGACGAGAAGCUUGCUUCUCUGAUGUUAGCGGCGGACGGGUGAGUAACACGUGGAUAACCUACCUAUAAGACUGGGAUAACUUCGGGAAACCGUAGCUAAUACCGGAUAAUAUUUUGAACCGCAUGGUUCAAAAGUGAAAGACGGUCUUGCUGUCACUUAUAGAUGGAUCCGCGCUGCAUUAGCUAGUUGGUAAGGUAACGGCUUACCAAGGCAACGAUGCAUAGCCGGCCUGAGAGGGCGAUCGGCCACACUGGAACUGAGACACGGUCCAGACUCCUACGGGAGGCAGCAGUAGGGAAUCUUCCGCAAUGGGCGAAAGCCUGACGGAGCAACGCCGCGUGAGUGAUGAAGGUCUUCGGAUCGUAAAACUCUGUUAUUAGGGAAGAACAUAUGUGUAAGUAACUGUGCACAUCUUGACGGUACCUAAUCAGAAAGCCACGGCUAACUACGUG